rnacentral:rRNA from 1 species
UGCAAGUCGANCGAUGACCCUGUGCUUGCACAGGUGAUUAGUGGCGAACGGGUGAGUAACACGUGAGUAACCUGCCCCUGACUCUGGGAUAAGCCCGGGAAACUGGGUCUAAUACUGGAUAUGCACCGUGGACCGCAUGGUUCUUGGUGGAAAGAUUUUUUGGUCAGGGAUGAGCUCGCGGCCUAUCAGCUUGUUGGUGAGGUAACGGCUCACCAAGGCGUCGACGGGUAGCCGGCCUGAGAGGGUGACCGGCCACACUGGGACUGAGACACGGCCCAGACUCCUACGGGAGGCAGCAGUGGGGAAUAUUGCACAAUGGGCGCAAGCCUGAUGCAGCAACGCCGCGUGAGGGACGACGGCCUUCGGGUUGUAAACCUCUUUUAGCAGGGAAGAAGCGAAGGUGACGGUACCUGCAGAAAAAGCGCCGGCCAACUACGUGCCAGCAGCCGCGGUAAUACGUAGGGCGCAAGCGUUAUCCGGAAUUAUUGGGCGUAAAGAGCUCGUAGGCGGUUUGUCGCGUCUGCUGUGAAAACCCGAGGCUCAACCUCGGGCCUGCAGUGGGUACGGGCAGACUAGAGUGCGGUAGGGGAGAUUGGAAUUCCUGGUGUAGCGGUGGAAUGCGCAGAUAUCAGGAGGAACACCGAUGGCGAANGCAGAUCUCUGGGCCGUAACUGACGCUGANGAGCGAAAGGGUGGGGAGCAAACANGCUUAAAUACCCUGGUAGUCCACCCCGUAAACGUUGGGAACUAGUNGUGGGGUCCAUUNCACGGAUUCCGUGACACAGCUAACGCAUUAAGU